rnacentral:rRNA from 1 species
AUUGAACGCUGGCGGCAUGCCUUACACAUGCAAGUCGAACGGUAACAGGUCUUCGGAUGCUGACGAGUGGCGAACGGGUGAGUAAUACAUCGGAACGUGCCCGAUCGUGGGGGAUAACGGAGCGAAAGCUUUGCUAAUACCGCAUAAGAUCUACGGAUGAAAGCAGGGGACCGCAAGGCCUUGCGCGAACGGAGCGGCCGAUGGCGGAUUAGGUAGUUGGUGGGAUAAAAGCUUACCAAGCCGACGAUCUGUAGCUGGUCUGAGAGGACGACCAGCCACACUGGGACUGAGACACGGCCCAGACUCCUACGGGAGGCAGCAGUGGGGAAUUUUGGACAAUGGACGCAAGUCUGAUCCAGCCAUGCCGCGUGCAGGAUGAAGGCCUUCGGGUUGUAAACCGCUUUUGUACGGAACGAAAAGCCUCUUUCUAAUAAAGGGGGUCCAUGACGGUACCGUAAGAAUAAGCACCGGCUAACUACGUGCCAGCCGCCGCAGUAAAAC